AGUGAACGCUGGCGGCAUGCCUAACACAUGCAAGUCGAACGGCAACACGCUAAGAGUUUGCGAUUACGGGUGGCCGGGGGCGUAAGAGAGAGGAAUGUAUCCGAACCUAGGGUUUAGUGGGGCAUAAGGUAGGGUAAUAUACUAUAAGAUCUAAGAUGCUGCACGGGGGAUAGCAGGGGAUCGUGCGGGCGGUCGGGCCUGUACUAGCCGAUGUCGGAUUAGGUAGUUGGGGGGGUAAAGGCCUACCAAGGCGACGAUCCGUAGCUGGUCUGAGAGGAUGAUCAGCCACACUGGAACUGAGACACGGCCCAGACUCCUACGGGAGGCAGCAGUGGGGAAUGUUGGACAAUGGGCGGAAGCCUGAUCCAGCCAUACCGCGUGGGUGAUGAAGGCCUUCGGGUUGUAAAGUCCUUUUGUUGGGAAAGAAAAGCCGCAGUCUAAUACCGAGCGGUUGUGACGGUACCGAAAGAAUAAGCACCGGCUAACUACGUG
rnacentral:rRNA from 1 species